rnacentral:rRNA from 1 species
ACCUCGGGGGGAUGACGGUACCGGAAGAAUAAGCACCGGCUAACUACGUGCCAGCAGCCGCGGUAAUACGUAGGGUGCAAGCGUUAAUCGGAAUUACUGGGCGUAAAGCGUGCGCAGGCGGUUUUGUAAGACGGAUGUGAAUCCCCGGGCUCAACCUGGGAACUGCAUUCGUGACUGCAAGGCUAGAGUAUGGCAGAGGGGGGUAGAAUUCCACGUGUAGCAGUGAAAUGCGUAGAGAUGUGGAGGAAUACCGAUGGCGAAGGCAGCCCCCUGGGCCAAUACUGACGCUCAUGCACGAAAGCGUGGGGAGCAAACAGGAUUAGAUACCUGG